GAUGAAGAACGCAGCGAAAUGCGAUAAGUAAUGUGAAUUGCAGAAUUCAGUGAAUCAUCGAAUCUUUGAACGCACAUUGCGCCCGCCAGUAUUCUGGCGGGCAUGCCUGUUCGAGCGUCAUUUCAACCAUCAAGCCCCCGGCUUGUGUUGGGGACCUGCGGCUGCCGCAGGCCCUGAAAAGCAGUGGCGGGCUCGCUGUCACACCGAGCGUAGUAGCAUACAUCUCGCUCUGGGCGUGCUGCGGGUUCCGGCCGUUAAAACACCUUAUUUACCCAAGGUUGACCUCGGAUCAGGUAGGAAGACCCGCUGAACUUAAGCAUAUCAAUAAGCGGAGGA
rnacentral:misc_RNA from 1 species